GUCCAAGGUUAUUCCCUCUCCAAGGGGCUGAUUAGUGCCUCUUUCAGGACCGUUAAAACUUUGAAAAAAAAUCUGGCAUGUCUGAGGUCUGGAGAGCAAAGGCAGCUUGUUGCCUUUGCCUGCCUACAUGUUUGCCUUUAAAA